CCGGAGGACAUUAUGUAAGUGAAGUAUGAGAAGCACAGAAAGACACAAAUCACAAAUUCUCACUCAUGUGGGAGGCACAAAAGUUGUGCUCAUAGAAGUAGACUACUGGUUACUAGAGGCAGGGAAGGAGAAGGGAGAGGAUGGUUAUUGAAUACAAAAUUACAGCUAGAUAGAAGGGGUAAGUUCUAGUAUUCUACAGCACUGUAGGAU
rnacentral:lncRNA from 10 species